GGCAGCGGAAAACUACUCGGCCCAUCUGGGUUACUUGUUUGGUAUCUUAUUCUGAGAUUCAGAAAUGCCGCGACCUGGGAUGAAAACCCAAGUCAGCCCUUGCUAAAGAGAACAAAGCAGGGAAGGGAGCACUGACCCAUGAGCUCAGAGGUUGCUGUAGACAGUCAAGCCCAAGUUCUCAAGAGAUGCUGCAGAACUUACUCUCCAUCAUCUCUCAGUUUCAUUCUUCUGCAAAUGAUCCUCACCCGCAGGUACCACAUAGCCACCAGCAGCCCAUGCUGACUCUGGGAGUGCAGAGGCGAGACUCUCUGUUCCAGUGUCCCUGGGAACCCCAGGUCGACUCUCACUAACCCCACUUUAGACAAGUUCUCAUCAGCCUCAUCUCUUCAAACUUGCAGUAGCUUUCAGGGGGCAUCAUGGUCAAGUCACUUUAAUCCACAAGGAGGAAGAGGAAAGUAAGGGAUGGGAUGGUUAACUUACAUGCCAUUCAUCUUGGCCCAGAUACUGUUGCUAAUGUACUUGUGACAGUGCUUCUUGUAUCAGAAGACUGAAUGGCAAAUGUCUUGUUCCCAACCUGAGAAGACACCCCCCAAAUAGCUUGAACUGGGAUAAUCAUCUUUUGUUGCAAUGUGGAAGAUGCUUGACUAUACUCUGGCUGAGCUGAAGGAGUCACAAAUCAUCUUCUCUUGUUCACUGGAGAUUUUCAUCUUUGGAUCUCUAGCCUCUGUAAUGUAGACUACUGACCCCCAUAAGUCAUAAACAUUUGAAUUUGGGCCGCAUUGCAUUGUUGGGUGUGCUGUGUGUCCAGCUAAGUGAUGGUUUGCAGUGGGACCUCCUAUCCUGCAUCAUCACAUGAGUCACAUCUUAAAAUGUGCCUUGUCUUAUGUGCUUGCAUGUGGGUGAAAGAUUCUUUUUCUCUGAAGACCCAUGACCACACAGGGGGAUUCCCAGAAUGAAGUGAUGUAGGGACAUAAAGGAGCACAACAGUAUCACCCCCACCUGGAAACUGUAUGUGUGUGUGGGAAAGUCACCACAGACACAGUUACAAACACGUAGUCCAGUGAAGCGGAAAGAGAACACAUGACAUUCAUAAAUUAUCACUGAUUAAUUUUAAUUGCCUAAACACAAAAAGAGAAGACAAAUAGGGCGGCCAAGGUGGUAUUAAAGUACUUGAACUAGAAAUCCAUUUCUUGUGAGUCAGCAGAAUUGCCAAGCAUAGUAGCAUUGUGGGGGCACUUCCAGAGGAGGAGGAAUGUAAUUCCUAACACAAAAUGAAGAGUAUUCAUUCUGACUAAACAGCAAACACUGCUGUUUGAGCGUAAUUACUGCAACCUUGAGCAUCUGCCAUCAGUGAGCGUCCUCCCUGCCCUCUGUAUCCAUGGCAACCUCUUUGUUUGAGAUGGUAAUACACUUUGCCCUGGAUGUUUCUAAUAAUGGAGUUUAAAUUGGUGGCUACAGAUGCUAUAAUUUUCAGUAGGUUGUUAUCCUUGAGUGGAAGUUUGAAGAAUCCAUUCAAGACACAUUGCAGGAUCUCUGCAGGAAGGCGGCUGAGACUGCAGAUGCCCCGAUUUUAAGUUGGCUUGCACUCCAGCCCCUCCCCCACGCUUUCAUUCUCCAUGCUGCUGAGAGAGCUGUCUUUCUCCUACAUCAGUCCAAUCACAUGUUCCUUCCUUAAAACCACCUGAUGGAUGGCUGGCAGUUGCCAGCAGACUCAGGUAAAGUCUGGAAUCUUAAGUGGGAGGAGUUAGCAGCUUUCAUUUCUUGGCUCUAUUUUCCCCACUCCCACUUUUGCUGUAGACAUAAGAAUGCCUGCUGUUCAAAAAACAAAAAACCAAAAGACAAAAACCCAAAACAACAACAACAACAACAAAGACUGCCUGCUGUGUCCCUGACUGUUCAGCUAUGUAUGCCUCUGAGCUUUUCUGGUACCGUUCCUCCAGCUCACAUGCCCCUUCCCCAUCUUUUGUAUAUGUAACCAGCCCUGCUUAGGUUGCGGCCCUUUUUCCCUUAAAGUCUUCUAGAACCUCA